ensembl:lncRNA
UUUUUUUUUUUUUUUUCUUUUUGUUUUUCCUUGUGUAGUUUGGUGAUUUUCUUUUAUAUUGUAUUUAUUUUCUUUUUAAUUUUUGUGAAUCUCUUGUAUGUUUUUUAUUUGUGGUUACGCAAAUUCUUCAAGUAUAUUAAUCUCUGAUUUUUCAAGUGUAUUAAUCUCUUCCUAUAUAUUUUUGCCUUAGACUGGUAGUCAUAUAAGCUCAUACACAUUCUAGGGGAAAAUGGUCAGCAUUUUCUUACUCUCCUUUACAUUUGAUGAUUUUGAUGUCUUCUUUUUCAUCUUCAUUUUCAUCCUUUUGGGUUCAUUGUGUUUAUUGUCACUUUCUCUGAAUUUUUUUAUUUCUUUUUUUUUAAUCUAUUCACUGGCUUAUUUAUUUACUUAUUUAUUUAUUUUUUGUCUUUUUAGGGCUGCACCCAUGGCAUAUGGAGGUUUCCAGGUUAGGAGUCCAUUUGGCACUGUAGCCAUGGGCCUAUGCCACAGCCACAGAAAUGAGGGAUCCAAGCUGCAUCUGCAACCUACACCACAGCUCACAGCAACACCAGAUCCUUAACCCACUGAUCAAGGCCAGGGAUUGAACCCACGUCCUCAUGGAUACUAGUUGGGUUCAUUAACUGCUGAGCCACAAUGGAAACUCCUCACUGGAGAUANACUUAUUUAAAUGAUUUACUUUCAAAUUGUGCUUUUCUCUUUCAUAUAUGUUUUUACUUUGUUUCUACUUAGAGAAGACUUUUCAACAUUUCCUUUAGGAUAGGUUGAAUAUUGCUAUAUUCUUUUAGUUUUUCCUUUUCUGAGAAAUUCUUUUUCUCUUUCUAUGCUAAAUUAUGAUCUUUCUAGGUAGAGUAUCAUAGGUUGCAGAUUUUUCCUUUUCAGGACUUUGAAUAUAUCUUGCCACUCUCUUCUGGACUGCAGAGUUUAUCAGCUGAUAGCCUCAUGGAGACUCAGUUGUAAUGAAUUCUUUGUUUUUCUCUUGCUGCCUUUAGAAUCCUCUCUUUUACUUUUGCUAUUGUUAUUAUAAUAUGGCUUGAUGUAGAUCUGUUUGGGUUUAUCUUAUUUGGAACCCUCUGUGCUUUCUGUACCUGAUAUGCAUUUCCUUCUUAAGUUUGAAGUUUUCAGCCAUAGUUUCUUCAAAUAUAUUUUCAAUCCCUUUUUUUCUUUCAUCACCUUCUGGAAUCCUUAUUUUGCAUAGAUGGGGUGCUUUUAUGUUAUCCCAUAGGUCUUUUAUAUUGCUUUCUCUUUUUUAAAAAAAAUGUGGCUUUCUGUCUGCUCUUAUGAUUGGAUGGUUUCCAUUAUUAUAUUUUCCAGGUCACUUAGUCAUUCUUCUGCAUUAUUCACUCUCCUAUCCAUUGCCUUUAGCUCAGGUUUCAUCUUGGCAAAUCAGUUUUCUAAUUGUUCUUGGUUCUUCAUAAUAGUUUCCAGUUUUUUUAUGGUAAUCUGCAUUUCUGUUGAUAAACUUCCUUUGUUCCUUCACUUUUUAUCCUCUCGCUUUUGAAAUUGUUGUCUCUUAGGAUGAAGGGGUCUAUUUCUUUGUUCUUUCAGGGGAAUUCUCUUGGUCUUUUAACUGGGAAUUGUUUCUUGGUUUCUUCAUUUUACUUGUAUUUAUCUUAUUCUGUGAUAUUAGGGAAAGCAAUUGUCUACUCUUGUCUUGAAGGGUUAUUAUAUGUGGGAACAUCCCUAUUUAGCUUGUAUGCAUUUAAGAUUUUUGGUGUGAGGCCUGUUUUUAGUAUGAGUAUCUGUCCUCUCAUUCAUCAGUGUUAUCCUCUUGAUAGUGGGUAUACAGAUGUAGGCUGGUGUUCAUUCCUGAGGUUCUUGGCUGCAAUGGUGACCCACAUGAUGCCGCUGGAGUACAGGAUGGGAGCCAAGGCAGGUUGCAACCUCUCCUCAGGCUAAGGAGGGCAGGUACAGUGGCUCAUGUCCACUCCUGAGGCCAGGGAGGGCAGGGAUGGUGGCUCCAAACUGCUUCCAAAGUCCUGGAGCACAUCUAUACACAUUCCUGAAGUUUAUGUAGGUGGUAUCUUGCCACUGAGAACAUGCAAAGGGAACAAAGCUAUAAUGGAAAGUCCAACCUCUCCCCUUGGGUACCCCAAACAAUGGUCCCUGCCCUCUAAGGUGGCCUGAGUCUCCUGUGUACACCCUCAGAUAUGGUUGCACUAGCCUUCAGAGCCCAAGCUUCAGCCCCCAGCCCAACCCACACUGGCAGACUCAUGUCUCAGGCUAAGGAGCAUCAGGCAAUGGUACUGACCCUCUGUGCAAUUCUGUGUCCAUUCUGACUGCUGCAAACCACCUGCUGUGCUAGUGUCCAAGGCCCAAAAUCUCCCCUUGUUUCAGCUCAUGUCCUGGCCAAUAAAGAGAAUUUCCAUGAUGCAGGAACUUUUUACCUUCACAGCUUCCUCCUAGGGGUGUGGGUUCAGUCUUUAUUCUUUUUUCACUUUUUUUUCUUUUAUUCUUUUGUCCUAUCCAGUAAUGUGGAGAUAUCCUACUCUUUCAGAAGCCUGAGGUCUUCUGCCAGAGUUCAGUAGAUUUUCUGUGAGAUUGUUCCAUGUGUACAUGUGUAUUUGAUGUAUUUGUGGGAGGAGUUGAGCUUCACAUCAUGCUACUCCACCAUAUUGAUGUAGUCCUGAAAGAGAUUUCUGUGUAUUAAUUUUGUAUCCUGCAACUUUACUGAAUUCAUUGAUGAGCUCUAGUAGUUUUCUGGUAGUAUCUUUAGGAUUUUCUCUUUAUAGUAUCAUGUAACCUGCAGACAAUGACAUUUUUACCUCUUCUUUUCCAAUCCAAAUCCCUUGGAUUUUUCUUUUCCAAGUGAUAUGGCUAGUACUUUCAAAACUGUGUUGAAUAAAAGUGGCAAGAGUGGACAUCCCUGUCUUAUGCCUGAUCUUAAAGAAUAUGCUUUAAGCUUUUCACCAUUGAAAAUGAUAUUAGCUGUGGGUUUGUUAUACAUGGCUUUCAUUAUUGUUGGUAGUUUCCAAUCAUGUACAUUCUGAAGAGUUUUUAAUCUUAAAUGGAUAUUGAAUUUUGUAAAAGCUAUUUCUGCAUCUACUGAGAUUUUCAUAUGGUUUUUAUUCUUCAGUUUGUUAAUGUGGUGUGUCACACUGAUUGAUUUGUGAAUAUUUAAAAAACCUUGUAUCCCUGGAAUAAAUCCCCCUUGAUCAUGGUAUAUGAUCAUUUUAAUGGGUUGCGGGAUUUGUAUUGUUAGUAUUUUGUUGAGGAUUUUUAUGUUAUCAGUGAUAUUAGCCUGUAAGUUUCUCUUUUUUGUAUUACCUUUGAGGUAUCUUAUAGUCAUUUUAGUUGAUUGUUGUUCAGCAGUUAUUUUUGAUUUUUUAUGUUUUUGGGAGAGGAGGUGAGCUCAAGUCCUUCUACUUUGCCAUCUUGUCCCAGAAAGUAAAACAACAUAACUUUCAAUUUUGAUAUGGAGACAAACAUUUGGUAAACUAUUCAAUUGAAUUAGUAGGAUGCGUCUUACAAGCCUAGUCCAGAUUCAUGGGUUAGAUGUCUACCACUGCUUUUGUCUUAUUUUUGUCCUGGUUUGGAUAUCAUUUAGGGUCAGUGGUUCUUCCUCUAGGUGAGUCCAGUGCAGAGACCCUUCUUAAGUCAGAAAUAUAACAAGAGUGACUUCCUUUCACUUUCACUGCACAUGAGCUAAUUAAGAGAGCCCAAUAAGGGUCUUUUCGUCUAGAUUAUAGACAGUUCUUUAAAUUAUGUCUUUUCCAGCAUGCAUAAUCUCCAGGUUUUAGGCAUGGGACAUCUGAUCUUCAUCAAAAUAUAUAUUAAUAUGAUAGACCUCAGAAACAAAAGUAAAGUGUCCUUUAAUAAUUCCAAUAAACUUUAUGAUUACACAUCAUAGCAACAAGGAGCUAUCCGGAAGUGACUCAGUAAAUGCAAACUUCAGUUACAAAACUAGAAUUUAAUGUCCACUGAAACAUAAUCUUUUACUAUCUAAAAGUACCCUCAUUUUUAUCAAACAUAGUCAAAUUGAGAAUAAUUUGUAAUAUAAGUCCACUUUCAAUAAACUUGGCCUGAUUACUUACAUACAUGUAAUUCAUCAUAUAAGACCUCUUAAAUUAGCUGGGCUGAAACUUUUCAUAAGGAAUCUCUGAUGGAAUUUUGAAAAUGUCUCUCAAGGCCAAGAAAGCCACACCAAAGUCUUUCCAUCAGAUUCCGUCUGCAAAACCUAUAGGUUUUGGUGAAUUCUUUUCUUCUCAAGGUCCCCAAAAUAUCUUUGGGGUUCCUGUUCCAGUCAGGAGAUGGACCUCUUUAUUCACUUGAUAAGGCUGUUGGGAACCUAAGAGAUUCCAAUUUUUAGAAGGAUCAGGUCGGAAUUCCCAUCAUGGUGCAGUAGAAACAAAUCCAACUAGGAACCAUGAGGUUGCAGGUUCGAUCCUUGGUCUCACUCAGUGGGUUAAGGAUUCGGUGUUGCCAUCAGCUGUGGUAUAGGUCACAGACGCAGCUUGGAUCUGGCAUUGCGGUGGCUCUGGCGUAGGCUGGUAGCUCCAAUUCGACCCUAGCCUGGGAACCACCAUAUGCCAUGAGUGUGGCCCCAAAAAGCCAAAAGAACAAACAGACACACAAACAAAAACCAGAAAGAUCAAGUAGAAAUAAAACAUAAACAUUUCAAUUUUGCUUGAAAAGGUACAAUUUAUCCCAUUACUGUAAGCCAUAAUUAGCUUAAGGGAAAGGCUUCCUUAUAUCUGGAAAACACAGAUUGAAAGCUAGCAACAUUUUAGACAAAGAACUCCAUGAAAAUAUAUUUGUCAUUUCACUUAGUCCUAUGUAACUAAUCCUUUUCAUUAAGAGUUUUAUGAAGUCAGAAGGUUUUUUCCAUUAAGAUUUUUAAAUUUCUUACUCAGUUCUGAAAGUUAUCAGAAAUCUGUACUUGGCAAAAAGUUCUUUCUGUAAAUCUUCUUGAAGACGAAACAUUUUUGCAAAAGCAUCAAUACACAACAAUAACUGUCUAUAAAUGACAAAAUGCUUUGAAAGACAUGUUAAACACUUGAAUACAAGGCAGUUGGCAAAUUUGGUUACUACUGUGAUGUACAACUUUUUAAGAUAAUAACUAAGAAUUAUGGCUUAUAACGUUAUACUAGCACAUACUC